CCAGGCUGGUCUCGAACUCUUGGCCUCAAGCAAUCCUCCCUCCUCAGCCUCUCAAUGCACUGGGGUUACAGGCGUGAGCCACUGCACCUAGCCUAAGAUAUGGUUUUUGACCUCAGAAAACACAGGGUCCUUCAGGGUUGUGGCUUCCUUGACUGUUUCUUUUUAUUUUAUUUUAUUUUAGGUUCCGGGAUACAUGUGCAGAAUGUGCAGGCUCUUCCUUCUGCCCAGCUCCAUCCUACCCAGCAGCCCGCAGAGAAAGGAGGCAGCUGGCACCACACUGGGCUUUGGAGACACUGCGGGGACUGUGGACCCCACCCUGCUGCACGGAGCUCCUGCAAAAGCAAACCUGAGAACCUUGGGUCCUCCCAGCGCCCAGCCAUGGGGGAACUGUGCCGCAGGGACUCCGCACUCACGGCACUGGACGAGGAGACAGUGUGGGAGAUGAUGGAGAGCCACCGCCACAGGAUCGUACGCUGCAUCUGCCCCAGCCGCCUCACCCCCCACCUGCGCCAGGCCAAGGUGCUGUGCCAGCUGGACGAGGAGGAGGUGCUGCACAGCCCCCGGCUCACCAACAGCGCCAUGCGGGCCGAAAGCCAGGGCUGAUGAUAGAAAGCAGCAGAGAAUCUCCAAGUGUAAGACAUUAGUCAAAGGCCCGGCGUGGAGCCCACAGGUCCUUAGCGUUUGGAAGACGAUUGCCUUCCCAGCCCACUCCAAGGAAGAAUCAGUGCUGCCUGGCAGCAGCCUCCAGGGACAAGAGAGAAAAAAGCUCAGCAUUAGCAGAGAAGACGGACUUCUGCAGUGGCACCUACAGCUGUUCCCUUGGCCUCCCAAACAACCCAGGUGUGACGUCGGGAACCGGGAAUGCAGGCAACAGAGUGAUUCCAGCUGCCUCACAAGGAAGAGGGUGUGGGGGAAGAGCAGAGCAUCCGGGCUGGAAGCACAGUCAGAACCCUGCGUGCAGCCGGACACUCACUGUUCUUCCCCACGUGUGCUGGGCACCCGCCCUGCGUCAGGCUCUGUUCCAGGAGUUGGGUGAAACGGUGACUGAAAUAGACAGAACUCCUGUCGGUGAUGCCCACGUGAGAGAAUAUAAUCAAUGGACAAUGCACCGCACAUAUUUAAAACGUGCAAAUUGAUCCGUUUUGACAUGUGAAUGUCUGUGAACCAGCUCUACAGUUAAGAUGGUGACCAUCUCCAUCACCCUCAAAGUUUCCUUCUCCUCUUUGGAAUCCCCUCACUCCAGUCUCCAGCCACCCACUGAAUGGAAACCACUGGUAUGUUUUUUGUCAAAAUAUAUUUCUUUGUAUUUUAUAGAAUUUUGUAUAAAGGGGAAUUUUUUGGUCACACACUACUCAACAUAAUUUCUUUGAGAUUUAUCCAUCAAUAACUCAUCCUUUUUAGUGGCUAAAUGGUUUUCCGUUGUAUGCAAAUGCCACCAUUUCUUUAUCUGUCCUUUAUGGAUAUCAGAAUUGUUUUUGAUUUUUUUGUUUGUUUGUUUAAAGACAGGGUCUUGGCUGCGCGUGGUGGCUCAUGCCUGUAAUCCCAGCACUUUGGGAGGCUGAGGCGGGCAGAUCACCUGAGGUCAGGAGUUCACGGCUAGCCUGGCCAACAUGGGGAAACCCCAUCUCUACUAAAAAUACAAAAAUUAGCCGGGCGUGGUGGUGGGCGCCUGUAAUCCCAGCUACUUGGGAGUCUGAGGCAGGAGAAUUGCUUGAAUCCAGGAGGCGGAGUUUGCUGUGAGCCGAGAUCGUGCCAUUGCACUCCAGCGUGGGCAACAGAGCGAGACUCCAUCUCAAAAAACAAAACCAAACUAAAACAGGGUCUUGCUCUGUCACCCAAGCAGGAGUGCAGUGGCACCAUCAUAGCUCACCAUAGCCUCAACCUCAUGGGUUUAAGUGAUCCUCCCACCUCACCCUCCUGAGCAGCUGGGACUACAGGCAUGCACCAACACAUGGGGCUAAUUUUUUAAAUAUUUUGUAGAGAUGGUGUCUCACUGUGUUUCCCAGGCUGGUCUGGAACUCCUGGCCUCAAGUCAUCCUCCUGCCUUGGCCUCUGAAAGUGCUGGGAUUACAAACGUGGGCCAUCACCCUCAGCCCCUCUCUGCAAUUUUUGGCUAUUAUGAAUAAAGCUGCUAUGAGCAGUCAUGGACAA